CGACGCAAAGGUGGAAUCCACACUUGUCGAGUUUGAUGAAGAUAGAAGCAGUUUUUCUGUAAUAUUUUGUUUAGUUCACCAGCAUUUUGGACAACUUGUGAAGUGGAGAAGAUGAUCCUGUUGCUCAUCAUCAUCAACAUCAGCUCAUGUCUCUGUGCACCAACAUUUGUAGUGAAAGUGACACAGAGCUCCUAUCAGGCAGAGGAGAACCACAACAUCACUCUGGAGUGGACCUUCACCACCAGACCUCAGGGAUCCUGGACAAAACUGACUGUUAUCUGCAGUA